UUUUGUCAGAAAGAUCAAAAAGGGCUUGAGGUUUUUCUUCGCAGCCUCAGCCUUGCCUCUCCCCCUGUUGCUUUAUCUCCUCAUUUCUGUGUGCAGGCGAGCUUCUUGGCCCACAGGCAGGAAGAGAUGGCAGCCGGGGAGACGCAGCUCUACGCCAAGGUCUCCAACAAGCUCAAGGGCCGCAGCACCCCCUUGCUCCUGGAGCCCCUCCUGGCCAUGGGCUUCCCGGUGCACACCGCGCUGAAAGCAUUGGCAGCCACGGGGAGGAAGACGGCGGAGGAAGCCUUGGUCUGGCUACAUGAUCAUGGCAAUGACCCUUCCCUAGAUGACCCCAUCCCCCAGGAGUAUGCCCUUUUCCUCUGUCCAACGGGGCCCCUGCUGGAAAAACUUCAAGAGUUCUGGAGAGAGAGCAAGCGCCAGUGUGCAAAGAACAGAGCUCAUGAGGUCUUCCCGCAUGUGACACUCUGUGACUUCUUCACGUGUGAAGACCAGAGGGUGGAGUGCCUGUAUGAGGCACUGAAGAGGGCUGGAGACAGACUCCUGGGCUCCUUCCCCACGGCCGUGCCCCUGGCUCUCCAUUCCUCCAUCAGCUACCUCGGCUUCUUCGUCAACGGCAGCCCCGCAGACAUCAUCCGGGAAUUCGCGAUGACCUUCGCCACGGAAGCAUCUCUCUUAGCAGACUGCUCCGUGAAGCCUUGCACCAAGCAGCUGCAUCUGACCUUGGCCCACAAGUUCUACCCCCACCACCAGAGGACGCUGGAGCAGCUGGCCAGAGCCAUCCCCCUGGGCCACAGCUGCCAGUGGACAGCUGCACUCUACUCCCGAGACAUGCGCUUUGUGCACUACCAGACCCUGAGAGCCCUAUUCCAGUACAAACCCCAGAACGUGGAUGAGCUGACGCUAAGUCCUGGCGACUACAUCUUUGUGGACCCCACACAGCAGGACGAAGCCAGCGAGGGCUGGGUGAUUGGGAUCUCGCAGCGGACGGGCUGCCGGGGCUUCCUGCCGGAAAACUACACGGAUCGAGCCAGCGAGUCUGACACGUGGGUUAAGCACAGGAUGUACACCUUCAGUCUAGCCACGGACCUGAACUCCAGAAAGGACAGUGAAGCCAGCAGCAGAUGCAGUGGGGAAUUUCUUCCACAAACGGCAAGGAGUCUUAGCAGCUUACAGGCCUUGCAGGCCACCGUUGCAAGGAAGAGCGUGCUGGUGGUUCGCCACGGGGAGAGAGUGGAUCAGAUCUUCGGGAAGUCGUGGCUGCAGCAAUGCUCCACUCCUGACGGGAAAUACUACAGGCCAGACCUGAACUUCCCCUGUAGUCUGCCCAGACGGAGUCGUGGGAUCAAAGACUUUGAAAACGAUCCCCCAUUAUCAUCCUGUGGCAUUUUCCAGUCCAGAAUUGCAGGGGACGCGCUACUGGACAGUGGUAUCAGAAUCAGCUCUGUGUUCGCCUCCCCAGCCCUCCGCUGUGUGCAGACGGCCAAACUCAUCCUGGAAGAACUCAAACUGGAGGAAAAAAUCAAGAUACGAGUGGAACCUGGAAUCUUUGAAUGGACAAAAUGGGAAGCUGGAAAAACCACCCCAACCCUCAUGAGCCUGGAAGAGCUGAAAGAGGCGAAUUUCAACAUCGACACUGAUUACAGUUUUCAGCACAAAACUGGAGCCUCCCUGUUGACCACGAGCCUGCCUGGAGGCAGAGCCAUCCCGGAAGAAUGUUCUCCUUCCCCAGCUAACCGUAGCCACGCCCUCCUAAUCCCUACCGAAGGGCCAGGGCAGCAGCCUCUCCAUCUCCUCCUUCCAGGCCCGCAUUUCCCCUGUCUGCCCUCAUGCCGGCCGAGAGCUACCAGGAGUAUGUGGACAGGUGCACGGCGAGCGUGGUGCAAAUUGUCAACACCUGCCCACAGGACACGGGCGUCAUCCUCAUCGUGAGUCACGGCUCCGCGCUGGACUCCUGCACGCGGCCACUGCUCGGGCUGCCACCCCGGGAAUGUGGGGAUUUUGCCCAGCUCGUGAGAAAGAUCCCUUCCCUGGGCAUGUGCUUCUGUGAAGAAAAUAAAGAGGAAGGAAAAUGGGAGUUGGUGAACCCACCAGUGAAGACCCUCACCCACGGGGCGAACGCAGCAUUUAACUGGAGGAACUGGAUCUCAGGCAACUGAGAGCCACGGUGAUGUUCUCAUAACCUCAGAGUGGAGAGGCAGAGACCAUGUGCAGAGGCUGGGAGAUGCUGCUCUUUCCAGAGGCGUCUUAGUCUCACCCAAUGUGAUUUGUAAAAGCACAAGACGCACUUUUAUAUUCCGGAAUAUUUCCCUCCAACUUUCGCCUUUGUAACUCCCAUCUGUGGACCCAUCCUCCACCAGCUCAGCUGUGGGAAGCACAGGGCAGAUGGCUGGGUGAGGACGCCACCCUGAAGCACGUACACCGAGUGUCUGCAGCUGGAGACACAACUGCUCGGGACUCUAAAUUCCAGGAGUUAAAGACUCACCACACACGAAGGAUCUAACCACUUCAUUUUCCAUGGUCUGAUCAUUAAAUUCCCAAUCGUUUUUUCUUUUUCUGCGUCCAUCACUCUUUAGCCAUAUCCACAUGGGCUAAAACAGGUGUAAUAGUCAAUAAAAUGGGCCCAGAAUACCGUCUACCAGCUCAAAACUGGGUUGCUGUUCAGUGCUGUCAACACUCAUGUUACUAUAUCUCUGUGGUUGCUGUAACCAAUGACCACAAACCUGGUGGUCAUGGAAAGAACACAAAAUUCACACACACACAUACAUGCACAUACACACACGCACAUAUGCAUACACACACAGGCACACACGUGCAUGCACACACACAAAUACAUGCACAUACACAUACGCACACAGAUGCACACGCACACGCACGCAUGCACACGUGCAGGUACACAAGCAAACACACACACAAACACAUGCAUACAUGCACGCAUGCAGACACAUACAUGCACACGAGCACACACAAAUGCACACAUUCGCACACACGCACAUGAAGGCAUACACAUGCAAUGCACACAAACA